rnacentral:lncRNA from 1 species
UCAACUGUCUCCAUACCUCAACCUAUAUGGGCAUUAUAAACCUCAACCGUCCUCACCCCUCAACCUAAGUGAGCACCAUAAAUAUCGAUCGUCCUCACUCCUCAACUUAGGUUAGCAUCAUGAGUAUUUUUCAUAUCCAUAGUAGGGUUCACCACAUAUAGUCAUCGAGACAUAAUCAUCACAUUUACCCAUCAACUUGCAUGCAUUUGUAUAACUAUGUUCAUUUGUUUAAAUACUCUAUUUGUAUAUAAGAUCUAUGU